AAUUCCUUGUCGGGUAAGUUCCGACCUGCACGAAUGGCAUAAUGAUGGCGGCGCUGUCUCCACCAGAGACUCAGUGAAAUCGAAAUCGCGGUGAAGAUGCCGUGUACCCGCGGCUAGACGGAAAGACCCCGUGAACCUUUACUGCAGCUUUGCACUGAACUUUGAUCUUACUUGUGUAGGAUAGGUGGGAGGCUUUGAAGCUCGGACGCCAGUCUGAGUGGAGCCAUCCUUGAAAUACCACCCUGGUAAUAUUGAGGUUCUAACCCAGGUCCGUAAUCCGGAUCGGGGACAGUGUAUGGUGGGUAGUUUGACUGGGGCGGUCUCCUCCUAAAGAGUAACGGAGGAGUACGAAGGUGCGCUCAGCGUGGUCGGAAAUCACGCGUAGAGUAUAAAGGCAAAAGCGCGCUUAACUGCGAGACCGACAAGUCGAGC
rnacentral:rRNA from 1 species